rnacentral:rRNA from 1 species
CGGGGGCCCGCACAAGCGGCGGAGCAUGUGGAUUAAUUCGAUGCAACGCGAAGAACCUUACCUAGGCUUGACAUAUACAGGACGACGGCAGAGAUGUCGUUUCCCUUGUGGCUUGUAUACAGGUGGUGCAUGGUUGUCGUCAGCUCGUGUCGUGAGAUGUUGGGUUAAGUCCCGCAACGAGCGCAACCCCUGUCUCAUGUUGCCAGCACGUAAUGGUGGGGACUCGUGAGAGACUGCCGGGGUCAACUCGGAGGAAGGUGGGGAUGACGUCAAAUCAUCAUGCCCCUUAUGUCUAGGGCUUCACACAUGCUACAAUGGCUAGUACAGAGGGCUGCGAUACCGCGAGGUGGAGCGAAUCCCUUAAAGCUGGUCUCAGUUCGGAUUGGGGUCUGCAACUCGACCCCAUGAAGUCGGAGUCGCUAGUAAUCGCAGAUCAGCAACGCUGCGGUGAAUACGUUCCCGGGC